rnacentral:tRNA from 1 species
CGCCAAGAAGCUAAAUCUAGCACUAACCUUUUAAGUUAGAGACUGAGAGCCCAAUACUCUCCUUAGCGG